UCAAGUGAAUCUGAGUUUAGUGGCGGACGGGUGAGUAACGCGUGAGGAACCUGCCUUGGAGUGGGGAAUAACAGUUGGAAACGACUGCUAAUACCGCAUGAUGCGAUUGUCUCGCAUGGGACUGAUCGCCAAAGAUUUAUCGCUUCAAGAUGGCCUCGCGUCUGAUUAGCUAGUUGGCGGGGUAACGGCCCACCAAGGCGACGAUCAGUAGCCGGACUGAGAGGUUGAACGGCCACAUUGGGACUGAGAUACGGCCCAGACUCC
rnacentral:rRNA from 1 species